UGAAACAGGAAGUAUGCCCCUUUUUCUCCUUCCUCCUCCAGCGGCAGGAUGUGAUCCACCAGCAAGGAGGGACGCCAAUAAGGUGUCCGGAUCUUCCACUGGGUAUCAGAUGUAUGCUAACGAAGCUGGAAGACCAUGAUAACACAAACCUUCUACAGCCCAUUUGCUGCGAGACUCCUUCAGAAUGGUCUACGAGUCAAGAUGCUCAAUGAAGAGACAGGAGGCCACAGGUGGAGACAGAGGCAAAAGGAGGAUCAUGUGAAGAGCAACCUGUUGUUAUUGAGCACCGUGAGAGGAAGAUCCAGGAGGUCAGUGCAAGAGUCAAUGAGCACUCUACAGAGCACUGCAGCUAUCAGUGAGAACUGUGUGAGGAGCCUGGACAUCACUGAUGCAACAUUCAGAGAACACUGCCGCCUGUCGAGCACCCCUGCAGUCAGUGAGCACCCUCUGUGGAGCACAAUUCUCUCAAUCCUGCUGACAGGAAGGUAUUACAAUUUUGCUGGCAUCAGUGACCUGGCAUCUUGGAAUUAUCCCCUGCUUCAGUUUACAGAGGAAUAAACCGCUGCCCGAUCUCUGUGCCAGAAUGUUAUAGAGAAGGCGUUUUGUUUAUUUGAACUAAGCCAGUGACCUUUGCCAGCAUUCGAAUCAUGAGCUGCAAAUUACAUGGAGUACCUUCCCUGCAUCAUGAAGAAAUGGUAUCGAGUUCCAGGGCCGUAUGGGACGAAACUGCAUUUGCUCUCAGCUCCUCAACAUUUAAUGAGAGAUCCUGAACAACAGAUAAAGUUGACAUGAUAUGACAAAGAUCCAUGGUGGCAGGGAGGCUUUUUUGUCAUAAUGGUGAUGUGCAAACUUCAGAAGAUUUAGCCUUCAAGUUUGGACACACUGCCAAGAAUGCGGAUUCCUUUUUUAAGUGGCCAGAUGUCUCAUGUCUGUAGAACUGUGCUUUCUGAGACAUUUUCUUUAUUUGUUGGUUUAGAUCAGAACAAGAAAGUACAUUGCCUUCUUGAAUCUAAUUCAAGUCACUUCCCGGGUCUGAGAAGCAUACCAUACCUUCAGACACCUAUUUUUAUCAUUUAAUAUAUUAUGUUGGAUUUUUACUGACUGUGUCAAAGCUAGAUUUAUUUUAGAACAUAUAUAUUUCAUCUUAAGCAAAGUCAAAAUGUUAAAAGUCACUGUAUGAAAACCAGGGAAUGCGAUGGAAAACUAGCAGAUUAUCAGAAAGUAGUUUUUAAAAAAACCCACAAACACCAAAGGGAAAUCAGACAGGUCUUUGAUAACUUUGCUUCAUUGAGCGCCCUGGGACUGUCUUGGUCAUCUCUACACAGCAACAAGGCUACCUUCAUGCACAGAUUAUGGUUGUGACUAUCAAGGAGAGAAAAUUACUGAAGUACAAGUUUUUUACUUCUUAAAAGAAAUUUUAUAUCCUGUUAUUGCAAGUGAUACAACACCAAGGAGUUAGGUUCUCACAUAUUACCAUGAAUCCUUUUACUCACUCACCUCAGUUCUGAAGAGAGUUGACCAGUUCUCCAUUAAGCUCAGGCUGAACUCUCUCAUGGAUUCACUGGAACUUCAUGUGUGUUAAGAGCAGAAAUAGUUGACAGCUUUGCUCACUGUAGUAUCCAUAAAGAGUAGGAAAACAAAUUAGUGCUGUUUGCUCCUUAUGCAUACACUGAGUCCAUGGCAUGGGGCUUCAAACAUUACUAUUAACAGUUCUCAAUUUGAACAUUACAAGCUGAUUUUAGUGACCUCAAUCACAGAUUUGAUGGCUGUUGAUAUUUAAGAGGAAGCAUUCCCACAAUGCUGAGAGCAUUCCUCAUGGACAUGGCAUCAUUCCACUGAGAAUGGUCCUGUACUUUUUUCAAGUUGGUAGUCUGAGUUAGAACAAAUCUCUCUGCCUUUCUGGUUGACACCAUGAGGUAAUAGUCCUUCAUACAUUGGAAUUUGUUCCUGCACCCAUAAUGAGCUCCAUUCAAACAUUUUAAACACAUGAUUUCCAUAAUCCUAAAUCCUGCUCUUCAUUGUUGUUAUCCAGCAUCGAGCAUAGAAAUUAUGUAAACCUUAAUGAACCUGUGAACAUUCUCUUCCAUGCACUUCCAGAAAGCAAAAUGACAAUGUCUACAGCGUACCGUAAACAUCAUCUGCUCCCCCAGGACCAGCACUGUGAUUAAACUGCUGAGACUGAAGGCUGGAAGGGGAGUGAGAGAUCCUGGGACAGGAUGAUGUGCAGGGC
ensembl:lincRNA